AUUGAACGCUGGCGGCAGGCCUAACACAUGCAAGUCGAACGGUAGCACAGAGAGCUUGCUCUCGGGUGACGAGUGGCGGACGGGUGAGUAAUGUCUGGGAAACUGCCUGAUGGAGGGGGAUAACUACUGGAAACGGUAGCUAAUACCGCAUAACGUCACAAGACCAAAGAGGGGGACCUUCGGGCCUCUUACCAUCAGAUGUGCCCAGAUGGGAUUAGCUAGUAGGUGGGGUAACGGCUCACCUAGGCGACGAUCCCUAGCUGGUCUGAGAGGAUGACCAGCCACACUGGAACUGAGACACGGUCCAGACUCCUACGGGAGGCAGCAGUGGGGAAUAUUGCACAAUGGGCGCAAGCCUGAUGCAGCCAUGCCGCGUGUAUGAAGAAGGCCUUCGGGUUGUAAAGUACUUUCAGCGGGGAGGAAGGCGAUAAGGUUAAUAACCUUGUCGAUUGACGUUACCCGCAGAAGAAGCACCGGCUAACUCCGUGCCAGCAGCCGCCGUAA
rnacentral:rRNA from 1 species